GUCUCCCUAGCACCCUGCCCAGUACUGAGCCUGUGAUUGCGCUACCCCAGUCUCCUGGAGUUGUGGCAUUACAAACAUGUCCAGUCUCCCACAACCCACGUCUCUGCUGCCAGAACAGUGACAAAACACACAUAUGUACUAAAGAGUGUCCGGAACCUCUAUCAGGGGCACAGAAGGCGGAGAAUGGAGCUGACUGCUGCAUCUAACCCCAGCUACAAGGUAAACAAUCUUCUGAGUGUUCCAAAGUCACAAGGCCCAGCAAGAUGACUUAACGAGUAAGAGGUGGCUACCUCUCCUACCGCCUUUAGUUGGUCCUGGACCUACAGAGUGGAAGAGGAGAACAGACUCCUUGUUAUUCUCUUGUUAUUCUCUGCUCUGCCCCAGUCUGGCUUCCUUCUUCAAUUCCUCUCUUGCUUGCCCUGGUGAGCACAGCCCUAUACUCUGGACUAUAGUCUCCUCCGGAUUUUCCAGGAUCCGCCAGCCAUCCCCAGGUCUCCUCUUCAGCCACCGUCAGCUUCCUUGAUUCUUGGCUCACAUGUCUGUCUUUUGACUGCAGCGCUCAUUCUGAGCCCUUGUUCUUCUGUCUGUACUCAGGACGUGCCUCUUUAGAGCAUCCUACAACAUCAUCUCCUGUUCCUCUCAUCGCCACCUCACCUUUCUGCCUGGCAUUUGAUUGGACUUUAAUUAGUUUUAGGAUGCUAAGGAUUGAACGCAGGGCCUGUAUAAGCUGGGCAAGCUCUUCACCAUUGAGUUACAUCCCUCAAGCCUUCUUUUCUCGUGUGUGUGUGUGUGUGUGUGUGUGUGUGUUUGUGUGUGUGUGUGUGUGUGUGUGUAUGCUUAAACGGUGACAUAUGUGUGCAUGCAAAUGGAGGCCUAAGGUUGGUGUCUGGAAUCAGUUUUUUUUGUUUGUUUGUUUUUAAGAUUUAUUUUAUGUAUAUGAGUACACUGUAGCUGUCUUCAGACACACCAGAAGAAGGUAUCGGAUCCCAUUAUGAAUGACCAUGAGAUGAGCCACCAUGUGGUUGCUGGGAAUUGAACUCAGCAAGAGCAGAGGGUACUCUUAACCACUGAGCCAUCUCUCUAGGCCCAGAAUCAGUUUUGAUUAUUCUGUGUUUUAAUUAAGGUUUUUCCGCUGUGAACAGACAUCAUGACCAAGGUAAGUUUUAUAAAGGACAACAUUUAAUUGGGGCUG
rnacentral:lncRNA from 1 species